rnacentral:rRNA from 1 species
CACCGGCGGCUCGAGUGGUGGCCACUUUUAUUGGGUCUAAGCGUCCGUAGCCGGCUUGGCAAGUCCCCUGGGAAAUCUGGCGGCUUAACCGUCAGGCGUCCAGAGGAUACUGCCAGGCUUGGGACCGGGAGAGGUGAGAGGUACCUCAGGGGUAGGGGUGAAAUCUUGUGAUCCCUGAGGGACCACCAGUGGCGAAGGCGUCUCACUAGAACGGGUCCGACGGUCAGGGACGAAAGCUGGGGGCACGAACCGG